AAGUAAAUUUCUUCUAUAUAUUAUAUUGAUGGUUUAAAAUACUAUUAAAAACUUCUAUUCACAUAUCUUCCAUAUUAUUUGAAACUCACAAUAUUCAUUUUUGGCUAAUAUUAAUGGUUCAUUUUUCCAUGUCAAAAAGCCUCCUAGACAUGAUUUUUUUCUCAGAGCCAUAAACAAUCAAAGUUAAAAUCAUGUCUUCAAGUUCUCCAAGCUUCACCUUU
rnacentral:lncRNA from 1 species